GGGGAACAAGUUAAAACUGUUUUAUGGUGUUUGAUAUGUUCCUUCACUCCCUUGGUAGAAUCAUACUACUGUGAUAUAGAAAGUGUGCCCUCCCCUGUAAUGUGUCUUGCACUCUUGCUUGUCCCCUUUGAAAGAGUAGAACUUAAAUGUUCUCCAUGUGGUAUUUACUUGGUUUUUGACCCCUAAAUAAACGGGGUCACUCUUUCUGCUUAAAUGAAAGAUGAAAGGCACUGCUCCCACCAGUUCCUGAAAGAAAAUUCCAUGCUGUACUUGCCGCUGUAUAAUGGUCAGACAAAAGAUGUUUGUUGUCGCUAGUUUUGUUCUGUGAGCCGUUCAGAGUGUUUCUUUUUAAUGAUGUUCAUCAAGUACAAGAGUAGGUAUCUGGAACUAACAGUGUCAUAAAGGAAUGGAAUACUCCGCUUUCCUUCCUUCCUCUGGCUUUGCUAUUCAUGCAAUGGAGAGAUCUGUAGUCUGUACACCAAAAGAUGAAGAUUGCAUUUCAGAGCUGAACAUCUGGAAUCAAUGAUGUCAUGAAGGACUAUUGAUGUGAGUGCAGGAACGGAAUACUUUUGUUACCGUGAUGUGAUGAUGCACGGUUAGUUAUUGGCUCCUUGCUUUUGCUCUUGACCAUCCAAAUCAAUUCUGCACCCGGCCGAUCGAGUGCAGGAAAUGGAAAAGGGGCAUAUGAACAUGAUGCUGCACUGACAAAUUACACCCAUCAUGACUGAGUUUAGGUUAAGUUGUAGUACAAGCUAUGAUGGAUGGAUGGUUGGCGAGAGCUG
rnacentral:lncRNA from 1 species